AUUAAGGUGGCAGAGAAAGUGCAUUAGGUUUAAGCCCUAAAUAUGAAGAUUAACAUCUUCCCUUAAUA
rnacentral:tRNA from 1 species